rnacentral:rRNA from 1 species
UGAAGACGACGAGGUAGAUAGGGCAGAGGUGGAAGUACAGUAAUGUAUGGAGCUGACUGUUACUAAUCGGGUGAGGGCUUGACCAA